UACGUAGGGACCGAGCGUUGUCCGGAAUUAUUGGGCGUAAAGGGCGCGUAGGCGGCUUUGCAAGUGACGGGUGAAAUCCCUCGGCUUAACCGAGGAACUGCCUGUCAAACUGCAUGGCUUGAGACCGGGAGAGGUGAGUGGAAUUCCCAGUGUAGCGGUGAAAUGCGUAGAUAUCUGGAGGAACACCGGUGGCGAAGGCGGCGUCCUGGACCAACACUGACACUGAUGAGCGAAAGCCAGGGGAGCAAACGGG
rnacentral:rRNA from 1 species